ensembl:snRNA U6 U6 spliceosomal RNA
GUGCUUGCUUUGCCAGCACAUUUACUAAAAUUGAAACAAUACAGAGAAGAUGAGCAUGUCCCUGGUGCAAAGAUGACAUGCAGAUUUAUGAAGCCUUCCACAUUUUU